rnacentral:rRNA from 1 species
UACGGAGGGUGCAAGCGUUAUCCGGAUUCACUGGGUUUAAAGGGUGCGUAGGUGGGCAGAUAAGUCAGUGGUGAAAUCUUUGGGCUUAACCCGAAAACUGCCAUCGAUACUAUUUGUCUUGAAUACCGUGGAGGUCAGCGGAAUAUGUCAUGUAGCGGUGAAAUGCUUAGAUAUGACAUAGAACACCAAUUGCGAAGGCAGCUGACUACGCGAAUAUUGACACUGAUGCACGAAAGCGUGGGGAUCAAACAGG